GAAAAAAAAAUGACAAAACCCUUCUCUCUCCCUUUUUCCCAUUUUCCUGCCGAGCCGCCUCCUUUCCAAUCUUCCUCCCUCUUCUCUCACCCCUUCCCCCUCCCUUUCGUGCCUUCCUCUCCCAGCAGCCCCUGCCCCUUCCUCUCCUUCUCCAGCAGCCCGUUCCCCUUCCUCCAAACACCCCCCAGCCGCCUCUCACCCUCCCUCUUCCUCUUCUCCCUUCCCCCUCUAUCUCCAGUCAUCCCCUUCCUCUUCCUCUCCCCUUCCCCUUAUCUCUCCUUCUUUCCUCUUCCAGCCGCCUUCCUCUUUCUUCCUCCCCUUCUCACUCCUCCAGCCACCACCCAAUCGUUCCUCCAUACAAAAACCAACAAACCCCCAAACCCCAUCUCCUUCUCCCUCCGACCAGCCAUCACCCAUAUCGCCACUCUCCCGCAAAAUGGCUCCAAAGAGGGGUGUUGUAGUAUCACCAAAGAAGGAGGCGACGGAAGACGAGAUAAAGAGAGAGUCGGCGGUGAAUUUUGAGCAAGCAUGAGGGCAAAGCUAAAGAAACAGCACCGCCAGUCCCCUCCCCUUACCCUUUUACGUUUUUUUUUGUUAUAUUUGCAGGUCCAACAGCUCCCACAUGUUGCCCUAUCUCCAAACUCGUUGCUCUCCACCAGCAACUCCAAGCUCAGGCGAAGUAACACGAACCAGCAAUCCAACAACCCAAACACCACGACAAAAUUCAAUCGCGGGUUAGCGCAUAAUUUCGUAUAAGUUUAGCUAGUUUUGUGUGAUUUGGUGUUUGAAAAAUUGUGAAAUUGGCCAAUGAGAAAACUAUCCGUCGAUUUUGGAGGUCUUCCCAUUUUAAAAAGACGGAAUUUUAAUUCAAGUUUAUGUAUUUUAUAUGUUGAAAUUGGCCAAUGAAAAAUAUAUCCAUUGGGUUUAGAGGCCUUUUCCAUUUUCAAAGAAUGAAAUUUUUAGUUUAAGUUCAUAUAAAUUGUUUGUCAAAAUUGUUGAAAGGGGCCAAUGAGAAAACUCUCCAUCGGUUUUGGAGGCCUCCCCAAUAUUAUAAGACGGAAAAUCUAAUUUAAGUUUAUAUAUAAUUUCAGUUGUUGGAAUUGGCCGAUGGAGAAAUUAUCGUCGAUUUCCAAGGCUCCCAUUUUAAUAAGACGGAUUUUUAUUUUUAAGUUAUUAUUUGAGUUAUUCAUUUUUAUAUAUAUUUAUUUGGUACUAACUCUUUUACUAAGUGACUCUACAGGUACUCCUUGAAAUUAUUCGAAUAUAGUUCGAAUCAUACUUUUAAUAUCAUUAUCUUGUGAAUAUUGAUGUUAGGCAAACUUUAGGCCGACUAUUAUUUUAUUUUAUUUUGUAUAUUGUAUGUUUAUUAUAUAUGUACAUUAUUUUAUAUUCUUCCUCAAUUUGAAAAAAAAUUCAUUCGGGAACCACAGUUGUGGAUUCCGAAGGGUGCCUAACCCCUUCCCUUCGGAAUAACUUGAACUCCUUACCUAGAAUCAAUUUGGUUUUGUAGAUUAAUAAUUGUUUCCUAGUUUUCCUAAAAUUAGGUGGCGACUCUUUUUAAAACUCUUUUAUUUUUAAAACUUUGUUAAAAUUGAAUCAAUUAAUUAUUUUCAAGUUGCCGCGACGUUUUGCCCUAUUUUGACUGAAUAGGGAUGUAAACAGAAUGGUGACUUUGCUGGGGAUUUUAGAGGUUUUAUCCAAUAUGGAUUUUAUUUUUUUUCAAAUUGAGGAAAUUUUUGUUUUAUUGUUAUGUUAUACCUUGUAUUUUUAUAUUUCACUGAUUAUUUAUUUAUUUUAUUGUGUGUAUAUUUUUCAUUGCAUUCAUGACAUCAUCUAAUAUGUAUGCAUAGUAUAUUAAAGGAUGGUUUGCGGAACCGCAACCGAAAUUUAAAAUACUCAAUUCUUUUUCGGAAUUAUCGGUAAUUUAUAUGGUUGUCGUGAAUUCCAACAUAAGUUGUCCGCUUGGGUUCCCGGUCUUUCAAAAGCCACUCUUAGUCAACUAGGAUAGAGCUAAACCAAAUUCCGAAUUUAGAGCAUACUAACUAAGUUGACCCAACACCCAAAGCGUGUUGUGCUCAUUAGAAGACCACCCUGAGUCCAAAAUGGCUCACGGCCUAAAUUGAUGUUCAUACUUAUGUGUUUAAAUUUGAAGGAUGUAUACGUUGUUUGAGAAAAUAAUUUUCUCAUAGGUAGGGAUUACAUUAUAGUUUAUAUAAGUUAAAGAAAGAGCUUCACAAGCUACUAGCCUAUUCGAAGAUGUUGGCACCCGAAGAUUACAAAAAGUCAAGAAAGAAGAAGGAUCUUUCGUCGAGGCAUAGUUUAGGGUCAUACCCCUGCGUGUUACAGAUUAUUUUGUAUACAUUUCCCCUAUUAUGUAUUCCCAUUAAGUUUUAUUCAUAAAAAAAUUGUAUAAAUUUGAGUUUUGGGGGCAACGAAAUAUUUCAAAUGACGUGUACAUCCUUCAAAUAGAUAGGUCUACCCUAGGCAUAAAAGGGUUACAUAUUUGUAUAGGACGCGCAAUAAUUGUUUGUAUACUAUGUGAUAUAUUCAGUUUGUCUUUAAUUAAAACAGUAUUUAUGUGUUUUAUUCA